CCUACGGGAGGCAGCAGUGGGGGGUAUUGCGCAAUGGGCGGAAGCCUGACGCAGCGACGCCGCGUGAGGGACGGAGGCCUUCGGGUUGUGAACCUCUUUCGCCGGUGGAGAAGGCGCCCCCGUGUGGGGUGCUGACUGUAGCCGGGUUAAGAAGCGCCGGCUAACUACGUGCCAGCAGCCGCGGUAAUACGUAGGGCGCGAGCGUUGUCCGGAGUUACUGGGCGUAAAGGGCUUGUAGGCGGCCGGUCGCGUCCGCCGUGAAAUCCCCUGGCUCAACCGGGGGCGUGCGGUGGGUACGGGCCGGCUUGAGUGCGGUAGGGGAGGCUGGAACUCCUGGUGUAGCGGUGGAAUGCGCAGAUAUCAGGAAGAACACCGGUGGCGAAGGCGGGUCUCUGGGCCGUUACUGACGCUGAGGAGCGAGAGCGUGGGGAGCGAACAGGAUUAGAUACCCCGGUAGUC
rnacentral:rRNA from 1 species